ensembl:lncRNA
GGCCUGCAGGUUAUGAAUUGCACUAUUAUUGUAUGUGCUAAGCUUGCUCUCCUUUAGAAACAUUGUGGUUUAAUUGCAGAAAACAAACUCUUUUAGUAUUUGGCUUAAUACUCCAUAAUUCCUCACCAUGGAAAUGUCAAAUUAGUGCAGCUUUGGAUUGGAUUGUGUUAGAAUGCUUUAUUUUAAAAAUUGCUAUUUGAGUUCUGCUUGAGUUUUAUUAAAAAAUUGAGUGAGUUUUGGCUUGGGAUUAGGGCAGAAUUUCCAAGAAUUGCUGAAAUGGCCCUAACUGUAUUCCUGCUAUUUUGUACUGUAGCUUUACAUCAAAGUGUAUUCUCAACUCCGACAAUAUGAACUCUAAAAAAUUGUUGAAGAUGCUGUGUGUCCUGCUGCAUCAAAUAUUUAGACACAACUUGAUUCCUUAUGCAAAAUGAGCAAGCACAUCUCAUUAGUAGGCAACUUUGCUUUAAUAAAUUGUAAAACUACCUAUAUAUUAAGUAAAUUAUUUAUGCUUUAUUAGCAUUAAGUCUUUGCUCUUGUGUACCUAUUUUACAUUCCUAUAUACCUGGGGUCAUGUAAACAUUUCUUGGCUAUACAGUGAUCAUGAGUGGAAAAAUUUUAAAGAAAUCUUAUUCUAGGGAAGUGACAAACAGUAAAUUAUAGCCAUGUAACUGCUUUUAUCUUAUUACUUCUUACACUGUUUUUUCACUUUAUUUAUUUAUUUAUUUAUUUACUUGACACAGGGUUUCCCUGCAGCUUUUUAGCCUGUCCUUGAACUUAUUCUGUAGAUCAGGCUGGCCUCGAACUCACAGAUAUCCACCUGUCUCUACCUCCGGAAUGCUGGAUUAAAGUGGCACAGAUGGACAUUUUGUAGACAUGAUGGAUGCCAAAGCACACUAUCCCAAAUAUGCUGUCAACCUGCAUUCCCUGUCAGUUGCUUACCCUUGGGAUCAAGCGAACAACUGGACACUGUGGCUCCCUGCCAAUAUCCAGCAUCAUGAGAGACUACAAUAAGACACACAUAUUUCUAUUCUGAGAAAAGAAGAAAAUUCAAAGUAUGUUUUCUCCUGACUGUGAUAACAUCAUUGUAAAGUCAAGCAGUUAUUAAGUCAAAUUAUCCUAUUUCAGGAGCCAUCAAUAAUUAUUAAGAAGACAUUGACAGUAUACAGGUUCUCAUCUUUAAAAAAGGUUUAUAUUUUCUUAUUUACACAGUAUGUGUGUGUGGCUGUGUGUUUAUGUGCACUAUGUGCAUGUAGGUGACUGAAGAAUACACAGGGUAUCAGAUUAGAUCCCCUGGAACUAGAGUUAAAAUGGUUAUGAGCUACCGGAUGGAGGAGAAGGGUAUUGAUUCCAUAUCCUCUGCAAGAGCAGCAAACACUCUUAAGUGCAGAGCUAUCUCUCCAACACUACUAGGUUUUAUUGUGUAACAUUGUAGUACAGAUGCUAAUCUCAAAACUCUACUGUGGUUAGAGUGCAGUUCUCUUCUUUCUGCUUCACUGCUCCUGUUUUCAGCCACCUAACUACUCUGUCAAGUCAAUUUAUCAGCAAUUUUCCAAAGUAUACUAUUGCCAUUUCUACUUAUUAGGAUGCUAUAAUUGAUAUUCUUCUUAUAAGUAUUAUAGUAUAAUUAAUGAAAAUCUAAUACAUAUGUAGAAAUUAUUUUUUAAAAUUCCAUUGGAUGCUUCAUUAAAAUAUGGGGCAUAUACUUUAGGUUAUAUUCUAUGCUAAAAGUUAAAGUUAAGCAACCAAGAGUCUGGAAGAGUUUGGUCAUGUCAAGAUCAAAGUUAGACUCAAAAGAUUAUAUAAAUCAGUAAUGUAUAAACUUGGAAAAUUACUUAAAUUCUUUGGCUCUCAAUUUCCUUAUUAAACAAUGAAUGCAUACUAUUUCUUCAAGGCAGGGUAACACUAUGGCAGCCAUGAUUCUAGACAACUGAUCAGGGCACUAUGUUUUUAUGAUUCAACAUUUUUGUUCACUUGAUCAAAAACGCAUCCAUUAUUAUAAAUAAGUAAGAAUUCAGUUGACUACUCAUUUCAUUUCUAGAAGUUCUGUAAUCAACUAGAAUGUUCUAAAUAAUAAUUUGACUUUCCUUGUGGUAACCACACAUCUGUUUUCCCUUUGACAAUUAAAUGCUUCUUUUUGGCCUCAGCCUCUAAAACUGGAGGAAUUCUCUGAUGAGGGAUGUCCAACUGUAUACUGGAAUAUAUGUUUCUCUUUUUGGUUGAUGAAUAAAGCUGUCUCAGCCAAUGGACAGGCAGGAUGUAUCCAGGCAGGAACAUAGGCAGGGCUACCAGAAUAGGAGAAGGUUGGGAGGAGAAAUGCAGAGAGUUGCCAGAAAGAUACCAUGUAUCCACAGAAAGUAGUAAUAUGCUGGAGCAUUAUGAGUAAUCCACAACCUUGUGUCAAUAGAUAGUUUAGUAGAAAUGGGUUAAUAACUAAGAGAGCCAGCCAAUAAGAAGCCUGAGCCAUCGGCCAAACAGUUGAUAAUUAAUAUAAGCCUCUGUGUGUUUAUUUGGGACUAAACAGCUGCAGGAGGAGGUGGAACAGAAACUCCAUCCACAAUUCUCCGCUGUAUUGGGUUUCAGAUUAAGUAACAGCUGGUUGCACUUGUUUUCUGAUCUGUAGAGAAGGCCAAGGACAGAAUUCCUCAGUGUGUUUGGGAUUCCCCUGGCAAGCUAAUGUCUCAUAUCUUAUUGAUUUAGUAUUUAAAGAUGUCUAUCAUUUGGGCACUACUGGGUAGAUAAAUAGGGCUUAAAAAAUCUACAUUAAUAUUUCAACUCCCUAAGCUUUUAGAUCCCUUUCAAAAUUGAAAUAUACAAGAGUAGCUUCCUUAGGGUCUCAUGUUGUACAUAAAAUUUUCUUAGAUUGCUGGAACUGAAGUGUUUAGUUAUAUAUUUAAAAGGAAGGAGUAGAGAUAGUAAUGAUAGUUUGAGAUGAUGUUGAAGGCAAAGCAUGAUUAGGACCCUUAGUUGGAGACAGAACAUCAACUUCUGACAGAUAAACCUCAACUAAAAUUAGGGGCUCAGGGCAGAGGUUUUCUGGGAACUUACCACCUGUCUGCACUCUAAUUUUCAAUGUCCCAUUUCUUUUAAAUUAAUGCCCAUAUUCACCAUCAGUUACAAUGUGAAAAUAUGCACCCAAUUUAUGCUGCCAUUCAAUAAUUUGCAGGUGAGAUUAUCAGUUUAGUUUUAACUAAUCAUUGUUCUAUAGCUGUAUGAAAUAAAGGGUCCUCUCAGGACAGAUGCAAACUUUCAAGUAAUAUAUGUUCUACAUAAGCCAGGAAUUUGUAUUCCUGAACUCAUCAUUAUCCUUCACCAUUUUAGGGUAUAAUUAAGAGUGACAAACCAAUCUGUUUAUAUUAAUUAUUUUGUCAAAACUGUUUUAAUGUAUAAAAUACAUGGUCACCUAGAACUUUACCUCUAUAAGUAUUUGAUUAAGAAUAGCUACUGACAAAAUUUCACAUAUAUCUAUUGCCACAUGACACUAUGACCUGUCAGCAGUCUAUUACAAGAAAUGAGGUCAUUAGUAACAUAAAAUUUAAUUAGAAUAAGGAAUCAGCUUCAUAAGACUCAGAACCAAUUUAGAAAACACAUACUCAAGAUGCUCUUUUUCUGAGAACCAUCCCAGUACCUGAUUGUAUUAGUCAGGUUUCUCAGGAGAAACAGAAAUGUGUGUGUGUGUGUGUGUGUGUGUGUGUGUGUGUUUGUGCACUUCUUGAACUGUAUCAAUAUAUGUACAUAUAUCAUAUAUCAAUUUUACAUUCCAAUGUAAACAUUAUAUAUAUAUUAUAUAUAUAUAUAUCCACAUGGUGCAUGUAUAUGUGUAUAGUGUAUAAAAAUAGUCUAUACCAAUAUGCGUAUCCUACUGAUGUGUGUGUAUACACGUUGGUAUACAUAAGCAUUUUUCUUAUCAUGGCAACUGGCAAAUCAAAAAUUCAUAGGGUAGUUGCAAAUUCUGACAAAAGUCUCCCGUCUUAUGGCAUCCUGGACCACAUUGCACUAUCCACAUCCAUGGACUUCAAUCUUUUUGUUUUGGUCUUUUGAUUUGAUGAUGCCCAUUCACACUAUGGAUGGUAAUCUGCUUUUAAAAUGUUUACUAAGUUAAAUGUUAAUCAUACCUAAAAUGUUCCUUGGCAGAAACAAAAUAGUUGGGUACCAAAGCCUAGCCAAUUUAACACACCGAUUUAAUUGUCAAAGCUCCAUUGUGAACAUAAUGUAAGCUUGAUGUCAUUUAUGUGAACAUUCAGUUUGGCCUAGAGUAAGAACUGUUUGAAAUUUGACUGUAAUAAUUGCAAAUCAUUAAAAAUGUUCUAGGCUCCUUUUUUUUAGGUCAUUUGGGUGAAUUUUCUUCCUUCCUUCCUUCCUUCCUUCCUUCCUUCCUUCCUUCCUUCCUUCCUUCCUUCCUUUCUUUGAGACAAGGUUUAUCUGUGUAGCUUGGGAACCUGUCCUGGAACUCGAUCUGUAGACCAGACUGGCCUUGAACUCAAAGAUAUCUGUCUUCCUCUGUCUCUGGAG